rnacentral:rRNA from 1 species
UACGUAGGGGGCAAGCGUUAUCCGGAAUUACUGGGUGUAAAGGGAGCGUAGACGGUAAUGUAAGUCUGGAGUGAAAGGCGGGGGCCCAACCCCCGGACUGCUCUGGAAACUAAGUUACUAGAGUGCAGGAGAGGUAAGCGGAAUUCCUAGUGUAGCGGUGAAAUGCGUAGAUAUUAGGAGGAACACCAGUGGCGAAGGCGGCUUACUGGACUGUAACUGACGUUGAGGCUCGAAAGCGUGGGGAGCAACCAGG